UAGGGAAUCUUCGGCAAUGGACGAAAGUCUGACCGAGCAACGCCGCGGGAGUGAAGAAGGUUUUCGGAUCGUAAAACUCUGUUGUUAGAGAAGAACAAGGACGUUAGUAACUGAACGUCCCCUGACGGUAUCUAAUCAGAAAGCCACGGCUAACUACGUGCCAGCAGCCGCGGUAAUACGUAGGUGGCAAGCGUUGUCCGGAUUUAUUGGGCGUAAAGCGAGCGCAGGCGGUUUCUUAAGUCUGAUGUGAAAGCCCCCGGCUCAACCGGGGAGGGUCAUUGGAAACUGGGAGACUUGAGUGCAGAAGAGGAGAGUGGAAUUCCAUGUGUAGCGGUGAAAUGCGUAGAUAUAUGGAGGAACACCAGUGGCGAAGGCGGCUCUCUGGUCUGUAACUGACGCUGAGGCUCGAAAGCGUGGGGAGCAAACAGG
rnacentral:rRNA from 1 species